GUGAAUCAUCAAAUCUUUGAACGCAAAUUGCGCUUCCUGGCAUCCCGGGAAGUAUGCCUGUUUGAGGGUCAGUAUGAAUAAAAAAUCGUUUUAGUUACACAUGGUGACGUUGCCGGGGUUUGGGCUAUCUUAACAUUUUUGGUUAAGAGGCUUAAAAUUGACCUUUUUUGCGCAUUUUUAUGCGAACAUAAAUUUUUUUUAUUCGUCUAUUCUUAUUCCCAAAAUCU
rnacentral:misc_RNA from 1 species